AGUGGCAACACAAGCGAAGCCGGGGAUGGCUGCGGGGGCCCCGACAAGAGUUUUCUUUUCUUGUUAACAAGUGCACUGACCCCGGAAUCGGAUUGACCGGAGAUUGGGUUAGCGGCUUGGGAAAGGCGGCUACUUUUGAGCCGUUUCGGUGCGCUCUCGACGUCCCUUGAAACCCCGACGGCGUGACUUAUUUGCACCCCUGGUCGUACUCAUCACCGCCGCAGGUCUCCAAGGUUAGCAGCCUCUAGUCGAUAGAAGAAUGUAGUUAAGGGAAGUCGGCAAACUAGAUCCGUAACUUCGGGAUAAGGAUUGGCUCUGAGGAUUGGGUGGAUGGAACCUAUCGGGUGAUUCGUAGGUAGAAGGGAUAGUGGUUCGCGCCGCAGUCCCGGAAAUCUACGGACCGAAGAUGUGGGAACGACCACAAUUAACAAUCAAUUCAGAACUGAAGCGGACAAGGGGAAUCUAACUGUUUAAUAAAAACAUAGCAUUGUGAUGGCGUGCAAACGUGUUGACACAAUGUGAUUUCUGCCCAGUGCUCUGAAUGUCAAAGUGAAGAAAUUCAACCAAGCGCGGG
rnacentral:rRNA from 1 species